UCCGAGUUGACCCCGGCGGUCUCCCAUGAGUCCCCACCCGAAGUGCUGGCAACAUGGAACGAGGGUUGCGCUCGUUGCGGGACUUAACCCAACAUCUCACGACACGAGCUGACGACAACCAUGCAGCAUCUGUGGUGCACCCUCGAAGGUCACACGUUUCCGUGCGCUUGCAGCACCAUGUCAAGCCCAGGUAAGGUUCUGCGCGUUGCGUCGAAUUGAACCACAUGCUCCACCGCUUGUGCGGGCCCCCGUCAAUUCCUUUGAGUUUUAGCCUUGCGGCCGUACUCCCCAGGCGGGAUGCUUAACGCGUUAACUGCGGCACAGAGGGAUUCGACUCCCCCCACACCUAGUGUCCAUCGUUUACGGCUAGGACUAC
rnacentral:misc_RNA from 1 species